AUCGCUUCUCGGCCUAACGGCUAAGAUCAAAGUGUAGUAUCUGUUCUUAUUAGUUUAACACCUAAUAGUUCCCUCAUAGAGGGACAAUGUUGUUAAAUUGAUUUUUGGAAAUUGGCGAAGUGCUAGGGGCUUGCUCCACCUUUGCCGCGGGUUGGCCUGGUAUUGCAGUACCGCCAGGAUCGGCCCAUCUUAA
rfam:Phlebotomus papatasi Contig62.35, whole genome shotgun sequence.